rnacentral:rRNA from 1 species
UACGUAAGGGGCGAGCGUUGUCCGAAGUUACUGGGCGUAAAGCGCGCGUAGGCGGGGGGUUAAGUGAGAGGUGAAAGGCUGGGGCUCAACCUCAUGCAGUGCCUCUCAUACUGGCCUUCUUGAGGGCGGUAGGGAGAAGUGGAAUGGCUGGUGUAGCGGUGAAAUGCGUAGAUAUCAGUCGGAACACCGGUGGCGAAGGCGGCUUCUUGGGCCGUUCCUGACGCUGAUGCGCGAAAGCUGGGGGAGCGAACGGG